CCACUGCUAUCAGAAAUCCGACUAAGCCAUGGGAAUUCAGAGCCGCAAGGCUCGGCGCACUGCUCAGUAACACGUAGUCAAUCUGCCCUGAGGUCGGGGAUAACACCGGGAAACUGGUGGCAAUACCCGAUAGGUGAAGGGAUCUGGAAGGCCCCUUCAUCCAAAGGCUUGCCGCCUCAGGAUGAGACUGCGCCGGAUUAGGUUGUUGGUGGUGUAACGGACCACCAAGCCGAUAAUCCGUACGGGUUGUGAGAGCAACAGCCCGGAGAUGGACUCUGAGACAUGAGUCCAGGCCCUACGGGGUGCACCAGGCGCGAAACCUUCGCAAUGCGCGAAAGCGUGACGAGGGGAUUCUGAGUGGCUUCGCACCGCGAAGCCUUUUGUCGAGUGUGAAAAGGCUCGGCGAAUAAGGGGUGGGCAAGACGGUUGCCAGCCGCCGCGGUAAUAACCGCGCCCCGAGUGGUGGCCACUUUUAUUGGGCCUAAAGCGUCCGUAGCCGGUCUGGAAAGUCUACGGUAAAAGCCCACUGCAAACAGUGGAAUUGCCGUAGAUACUGCCAGACUAGGGACCGGGAGAGGUCUGGGGUACGGCCAGGGUAGGGGUUAAAUCCGUUAAUCCUGGCAGGACCACCUGUGGCGAAGGCGCCAGACUGGAACGGCUCCGACGGUGAGGGACGGAAGCUGGGGGAGCGAUCGGGAUUAGAUACCCCGGUAGUCCCAGCUGUAAACGAUGCCCACUUGGUGUUGGCAACCUUACGAGGGUUGCCGGUGCCGAAGCGAAGGCGAUAAGUGGGCCGCCUGGGGAGUACGUCCGCAAGGAUGAAACUUAAGGGAAUUGGCGGGGGAGCACUACAAGGGGUGGAGGCUGCUGUUCAAUUGGACUCAACGCCGGGAACCUCACCUGGGAAGACAGCAGAAUGAGGGUCACCCUGAAGGGGUUACCAGACACGCUGAGAGGUGGUGCAUGGCCGUCGUCAGCUCGUGCCGUGAGGUGUCCUCUUAAAGUUGAGGAAACGAGCGAGACCCACGCCCUUAGUUGCCACUUCCAUCUCCGGAUGGGAAGCACUCUAAGGGGACCGCUGCUGUAAAGCAGAGGAAGGAGUGGGCAACGGCAGGUCUGUAUGCCCCGAAUUCCCAGGGCUACAAGCGGCCUACAAAGCAUGGGCCAACGGGCUGCGACCCCGAAAGGGGAAGCCAAUCCCUCAAACCCAUGCCUAGUUCGGAUCGAGGGAUGCAACCCGCCCUCGUGAAGCCGGAAUCCCUAGUAAGCGGAAGUCAUCAUCUUUCGCUGAAUACGUCCCUGCUCCUUGCACACACCGCCCGUCAAGCCAUCUGAGUGGGUUUUUGGUGAGGCCUGCGAUGAGUAGGUCGAACCAGAGGCCUGCAAGGAGGG
rnacentral:rRNA from 1 species